rnacentral:tRNA from 1 species
GGGCGUGUAGCUCAGUUGGUAGAGCACUUGACUUUUAAUCAAGUUGUCCCGGGUUCGAGCCCCGGCACGCUCA